UCAAUUUCUUAUCCAGUGUUACUAAAAUUGGAAUGAUACAGAGAAGAUUAGCAUGGNCCCUGCACAAG
rnacentral:snRNA from 1 species